UACGUAGGUGACAAGCGUUGUCCGGAUUUACUGGGCGUAAAGAGCGCGCAGGCGGUCGAUCAAGUCGAGUGUGAAAGCCCCCGGCUCAACUGGGGAGGGUCACUCGAUACUGAUCGACUUGAAGGCAGGAGAGGGAAGCGGAAUUCCCGGUGUAGUGGUGAAAUGCGCAGAUAUCGGGGAGGAACACCUAUGGCGAAGGCAGCUCGCUGGGACGUUACUGACGCUGAGACGCGAAAGCGUGGGGAGCAAACAGG
rnacentral:rRNA from 1 species